GCAGUCGAGCGGACAGAAGGGAGCUUGCUCCCGGAUGUUAGCGGCGGACGGGUGAGUAACACGUGGGUAACCUGCCUGUAAGACUGGGAUAACUCCGGGAAACCGGAGCUAAUACCGGAUAGUUCCUUGAACCGCAUGGUUCAAGGAUGAAAGACGGUUUCGGCUGUCACUUACAGAUGGACCCGCGGCGCAUUAGCUAGUUGGUGGGGUAAUGGCUCACCAAGGCGACGAUGCGUAGCCGACCUGAGAGGGUGAUCGGCCACACUGGGACUGAGACACGGCCCAGACUCCUACGGGAGGCAGCAGUAGGGAAUCUUCCGCAAUGGACGAAAGUCUGACGGAGCAACGCCGCGUGAGUGAUGAAGGUUUUCGGAUCGUAAAGCUCUGUUGUUAGGGAAGAACAAGUGCGAGAGUAACUGCUCGCACCUUGACGGUACCUAACCAGAAAGCCACGGCUAACUACGUGCCAGCAGCCGCGGUAAUACGUAGGUGGCAAGCGUUUGNCCGGAAAUUAUUGGGCGUAAAAGGGCUCGCAGGCGGUUUCUUUAA
rnacentral:rRNA from 1 species